CCCUUAGAUGUUCUGGGCCGCACGCGCGCUACACUGAUGCAUUCAACGAGCCUAGCCUUGACCGAGAGGUCCGGGUGAUCUUUGAAACUGCAUCGUGAUGGGGCUAGAUUAUUGCAAUUAUUAAUCUUCAACGAGGAAUGCCUAGUAAGCGUGAUUCAUCAAAUCGCGUUGAUUACGUCCCUGCCCUUUGUACACACCGCCCGUCGCUCCUACCGAUUGAGUGUGUUGGUGAGGAGUUUGGAUUGGCCUCGGAAGGUGGUUCGCCACCGUCCGUAGCUGAGAAGUUCUCCAAACCGCCCCACUUAUAGGAAGGAGAAGUCGUAACA
rnacentral:rRNA from 1 species